CCUGACGCAGCGCGCCGCGUGGGGAUGACGCCUUCGGGUUGUAACCUCUUUUACCACCAACGCAGGCUCCGGGUUCUCCCGGGGUUGACGGUAGGUGGGGAAUAAGGACCGGCUAACUACGUGCCAGCAGCCGCGGUAAUACGUAGGGUCCGAGCGUUGUCCGGAAUUAUUGGGCGUAAAGAGCUCGUAGGCGGCGUGUCGCGUCUGCUGUGAAAGACCGGGGGCUUAACUCCCGGUUCUGCAGUGGAUACGGGGCAUGCUAGAAGGUAGGUAGGGGGAGACUUGGAAUUCCCUGGUGUAGGCGGUGAAAAUGCGCCAGAUAUCAGGGAGGAACACCCGGUGGCCGAAGGCCGGGUCUCCUGGGCCUUUACCCUGACGGCUGAGGGAGCCGAAAGCCAUGGGGAGCGGAAACAGGAUUAGAUUAACCCUGGGUAGUCCCAUGCCGUAAACCCGUUGGGCCGCUAGGGUGUGGGGACUUUCCUUGGGUCUGUUCACA
rnacentral:rRNA from 1 species